GUUCACCACCUUUUAUACUACUCACACUGUGGGUGACGGUCAAUGUGAAAUCAGAAUGCGUACCGUAUUUCGAAGCUUACUGCAUAUGAAUAAACUGUUGGGAGUUUGGUCCUUUUCACAAAAAGCAGUUGAAACUAGACGUUUGAUACAUUUAGUAGGUAAAUUGAAUACAUACAAUGAUCCCGUCAAUGAUCGCCCGCCAGGAAAGGUGUCGUCGUCAUUCGAAGAGGAGCAUCACAACCAUAACCUUACCGGAAUUGUUCCUCCGAAGUACAAAGUAUUUCGAGACGAAGAUGCGCCAAUCAUUUUUGAUGUUGAUGAAGAACGAGCAAAGAUAAACCUCGAAGAAAUUGUUACACCUUAUGAGGAAUCCGACAUAUAUGAAGGGAUUAAUUUAAACCGUGGGAUUAGUGGAGUCUAUGAACUCGACGACCUGGUUGAUCUCCUCCGUAAAAACAAUGUUAUGGAUUUAUUUGUGGCCGCUGUGCCACCUGAGCUGGUCUACGUCGAUUAUGUUAUUAUAGUAACAGGUAGAUCGUCGAAGCACAUGAAGGCAACGGCAGAAAUAAUUCGUAGAGUUUUCAAGAAGAAAAGACACUCCACAGAUCCAGUGCCUAAAAUUGAGGGAAAAAAUUCCAAAGACUGGAUUGCCAUAGACCUAGAAAUGAAUUUUUUCUAACAUCUGCUUGGAAAAUUCGAUUUUCGAAGUCUAUGGAGCGCACCUAAAGUGCCCCAUUUCCGAACAGUGCAGUAAAACGAUGUUGGUGCAUGCGCACAAUUGAAAUGCAAUAGCUUACACACUGUGGCUUCUUUUGGUGCCCAAGCACUUUCAAAUAACUAAAACUUACGCACUGUGUUAUUGAGCGUGAGUUACUUAACCCCGAUUUCACACGUUGAAACUUAGCGCUGCACAUUUUCUCCCAGCAGGCAAGGAAGAUAUACGACCUUGAAACGUUAUGGACCGUUGGUUCUAAAUAUGAUGACCAGUCUAAUAUGCCCAUAGAUCAACUGACUGGUUUACUGCAAAAGCACU